CCUUUGCGCUCCUAAACAGCGCGAUUUUUUACAACUUUUGCAGAAAGACCUGAUCAUCUGUUGAAGAAAUUGACCAACACUUUGGCGAGCUUGCCAGGAGUGAGUGACCACUUCGCUGGACUGACCAUUGAUCCACGUGCAAACGCUACAAAAUUAUAAGGUCUUUGUAUUCCCAAUACAGGAAGUCCCAGGAAGUUCCAGAACAGGGUGACCCAGACAGCCUACCUGUUGACGUUGGAGAAUGGAUCAAGCUGAAGGUCCACAAAAGGAAGUGGAACCACCCCAGAUGGACAGGUCCAUACCAGGUCAUCGCAGCAACACCCACAGCACUGAAGGUCCAGGAGCGUCAGGGGUGGCACCACCUAUCGCACUGCCAGAAGAUGUCACAACCAUCAUAACAGAUAAGAGUACACACACACCCAGACCCUUAUUUCUAUCCUCAAUCUCCUGAGGAUUGCUUGCAAUCUAAUGCACCUUUUAUGGAUGAUUCUUAUAAUCACUAUGCUUGAGUUACUUUGCUUUUGUUGAGGCCUGGUGGCCUCAAAGGGGGGAAUGAAGGGGUUAAACCAAUGCCUCAUACCUUUAAAGGGUUAAUAAAUUGUGUUAUGAUAAACUGUAAGGUCUCCUCUUUAGGAGACCUCUCUGUGUGUGUGUUAACACCUGUUUUGAGUGUUGUGCCCUUCAGACACCAUCAGAAGGCGGAAACCGCCUACGUUCAUACUCCUCCUGUCUGGGCCCCACCUGGCUACCUUACGUUCUGAGAAUACGACUGGUUUCCUGAGAACACAAGGCUGCCGCAGACCUGAUGAAAACAGCCACCUGUCAGAAGAUGCUUGGACUAAUUCACCUUGUUAUGACCCUAUACUUGUGAUGAAAGGUCAAGUUUCGGUCAAACCCACUUCUGAGCUUUUAAUUGCUGACAAGAUGGUUGCUGCUGUCAGGGGGGGUUGGAUUUAUUAAAAUGUUGUUGCCAGGGAAACUCACGCAAGGAGGACUGGGAGAGGCUAUAUGAGUUACAGGAUGUCUUAGACACCUUGCAGAACCUGGGGAGAGCUAUCAUAUACUGUACUAUGUACCAACUUCUACUGACAAUUGUAUUACUAA